rnacentral:rRNA from 1 species
GAUGAACGCUAGCGACAGGCUUAACACAUGCAAGUCGAGGGGCAGCACAGGUAGCAAUACCGGGUUGCGACCCGCGCACGGGUGAGUAACGCGUAUGCAACUUACCUAUCAGAGGGGGAUAACCCGGCGAAAGUCGGACUAAUACCGCAUGAAGGAGGGGGCCCGCAGGGGGAUAUUGGCUAAAAAGCCAUCGCUGAAAGAUAGGCAUGCGUUCCAUUAGGCAGUGGGCGGGGUAACGGCCCACCAAACCGACGAUGUAUAGGGGUUCUGAGAGGAAGGUCCCCCACAUUGGUACUGCGACCCAGACCCCUCUCCUACGCAGGGCAGCGGUGUAGUAGAUUGGUCGAUGGCGGCGAGUCUAACCAAGCCAAGUGGCGUGAGGAAGGAUGGUUCUUUGGAUCGUCAUCCUCUUUUAUAAGGGAAUAGUAUGCUGGACGUGUGCCGUUUUGUCUGUACCUUAUGAAUAAGGACCGGCUAACUCCGUG